rnacentral:rRNA from 1 species
AGAAUCAACGCUGGCGGCGUGCCUCAGACAUGCAAGUCGAACGCGAAAGGUUCCUUCGGGAACUGAGUAGAGUGGCGCACGGGUGAGUAACACGUGAGUAAUCUACCCACGGGUGGGGAAUAACGUCUCGAAAGAGACGCUAAUACCGCAUAACGCAGCGGCAGCUUAGGCUGACAGUUGUUAAAGCGGGGGACGGAGCAAUCCCACCUCGCGCCUGUGGAGGAGCUCGCGGCGGAUUAGGUAGUUGGUAGGGUAACGGCCUACCAAGCCUGCGAUCCGUAGCCGGCCUGAGAGGGCGGUCGGCCACACUGACACUGACACACGGGUCAGACUCCUACGGGAGGCAGCAGUGGGAAUUUUGGCGCAAGUGGGCUAACGCCCGACGCAGCAACGCCGCGUGGAGAGUAGAAGGUCCUUAGGAUUGUAAACUCCGUGUCAGGACGGGAAAAAGGACCGUACGGACCUAAGUACCGGACCGGG